UGCGGGAAGCGAUGCUGCCUUGACCGAUACCUCGUUGACGCACAGACUUCCACUGCCUGAGAGUAAAGAAGUUACGCUCGAGAAACCUACGAAAAAAUUGUGGUUACAAAGCACUGUGCAAAACAAUAAAUACGACCACGCAAACUUUCGUCUCAAUCCAUCGGUAUAGCGCAUAGGAAAUGCACAAAGACGAAAAUCUGCGUGGUCGUAUUAAUUUUUUUUGCGCAUAGCAACCACGAUUCUUUUGUGCAUUUCUCUGGCAUAAAUUAUUUACUGUGUGGUGGCAGAAGUCUUUCUCACAAGUAGAUAUAGCACCACAGGCGAAAAUGUGACUGACCUUUUAUAGCACCCACCCUGUACAAAGCUGUGAAAGGGAGGAUGAUCCUCCCCUUCAGUUCCCUCUUCUAUGCUUCUGCUGAUAGCGGCAUCAAGGUUGAAACGACAAAUCUCUCUUAACCAACAGUGAGGAGAUAACAAGGAAAUGCCGGUCACCGCGUGUUUCGUUUUGUUUUGAUUCGAUUCGCAAUUCGAACAUAUAAUUCCGUAUUCAAUACGAGAAACAGUUAUGCGCCUGGAUAUCCGAAAUAUUGCAAUGUUCCCACAGCACAAAUGGAUAGUUCCAACUCAAAUCGAACAAUCCGGUACACUUGAUGUCUCGAAUGAACGGGAAAAAAAUGUGUGUUGAAGCCAUCGGUGAGUUAGGAGAAAUAAACGCUUUCCGAAAUCUCUGCACUGCGCGGUUCGGGAAAUAGGAGAGGAGGAACAAAAGUGUACAAAAGAGUACUCUCUUACUUUUCCUCUCUCUUUUCUGCCUCUCAUAAGACGAUGUUGUCGCGCGCGGAUUUGAGCGUUCGCUACAAGGCUAUUUAUUGUCGCAUCUUAGGAAUUUCUUGAUCUGGCUUUAGACCACUUAGGGCACAAUAGGAUCCUGCGUUGGCAGUGCUGUGUCCGUUUUUGUUUGUCUGCAAAAAAAUAUCAAAGUUGACUCAAAGUGCCGAAAGGCACCAUAUUCACUGCAACUUUGCGGACGAUGUACAAAACGGAUAAGAUUGAGCUUUAUGCCGUUUAAUCUGUCAUUCAUGGGGCUAUCGAAUGAUGUAUAAUUUGUUGCUCUACUCCCUCAGGAAUCUAAGCGAUACCUCUUUUAGUAGCACCAUACCAGCGAAAAAUGACGAAUAUCGGAAGCCUUUAUUAAAACAAAACCACUAAAAACUUGCCUCGAAAAUUUUAUAUGUUGUAGGUAAUUCUUUAGACUAUGCACAGAAGAAAAAUCAAAAUUCGGACUUGAUCGGUAGGCGCACUGUUAAUUUUUUGACAGCCCUGUACGCGGAGCGCAUUCAAGCCGUGGCACCGUGCCCCGCGUGUUGCAAAAUCAAAUUUUCCAAAGGGACUUUCACCUUCUGUCUUCACAUAAAAAGUAAUUGCUAUCAUUUGGAACCGUUCUGAGCGCUUGCGCUCAUAAUAGUGUUGUAAUCGCUGAAUGUAGAUUGUGGAGCAACCAGAUGUGCUCACAUUUUUUGCGGGAUGACACACAUGCAUUGCAAGUGCUGGGGGCCCGUGAAGAACAGAAUGCUUUAGGAUACUUUUGCGUCUUUAUAAGAGGUAUAUUUGUCCACGGUGAUAAUAUCGAAGCAUAUUUACAGUACACAGAAUAACAACAACUUGACACCGAAUAAGACAAGGUAAUGAAGGUAAGAAGGUAACGUAAGUUAUGCAGAGCAUUCCGGGAGGAUGAGAGUGCUCGUGUCAUGAACCGCUUUAGGCUGUUGUAGGAGCCACUUUGCUUAGUGUUACUUUUGGUGGCAGGUUCUUGUCAGAUUUUCUGGAUAGGCUCUUCUCACGUUACAUGCUAACUCGCUGCAAUCCUUGCACUUAGCCCUGGAUGUUCCUCGCAAGGCAACACCGAGUCUUUCUGCCCAUUUUUUUCAAGUAUUUCGGAGUGUUUCUCUGUGCAUAUGCUUCAGUCGACUUCCUUCUUGGCUUAGGCGGUGUGACGUUAAUAGCUUCAGGUUAUAUAUAUAUAUAUACUCAUACUCAUUGAUUUCUUCGACCACGUUGGGCUGGUGCACAAACGGCUCACCGAGUGGGCUUCUUUCAAAUGUGGGUAACAUUGCUGCGUGUUGCGAUUCAGCCACCUUUGCUGUGAAGCACUUGAAGCAGCUUCUGCAUUGCUGGCCCAUUUCUGUUACACCUUCGGCUUGAUCUGCUGGAACCACAGUCUUUAUGGCAGCUACGCCGGUCUCCGAGGCAAAGCGAAAGUCGUUUGUCAAUAGCACUUUUUUUCUUGUGUAUGAGGCGGUAGUCAACGAAAUACACACGAUCAGCGCUGUAUAACGAAGAGGCCAUUGAGGUAGGUGUGAUGCCACGACGACACACUAUACAGUAAUGCAGAUGUGCGAUUUGACCUCGAAGCCUUCGAUGAUGUAUUGCUAUGGUGUACCUGAAUCCUGGGCAUCAUCUGUUGUAGUUGCACACAGUUUUAAUAGCAGAACUGAUUACAUAACGCGAGUCGUCACCGAUAGGACUUCACGUACCGCGCGUCUCUUGCGCUCUACGCAGUUCUCCCGCACCGUGCACCGGCGGAGAGCAGACCGUUUUGACGAUGAUCGCACGGGAGGGCGCUGCACGUCGCAGGAUUGCUGCGCACACCGCUCCGCGGCCAGCUCGCAUAUGGAAGGGCACCGUGUACCAGGUGACCCAAACUCCUUCAGAAUCGUCGUCAAAUGAUGGAGGCUGCCAUAUUGUGCCCCCGAGUUGUCCAACCAGAGUUGAUGCAUCCUGCUAGUUUUGGCGAAAGAAAUCUUAACUAUGUAAUCGUUCUGUUUUUCCUGCUUUCUCUUGCUCAUACCAAAAAAAAGUUUCGUAGAUGACCGAACAAAACGAUUAGAAACAGAAAUGAGUUGCGUACUGUGCAUUUUACCAUUCUAUUUAGAUAGACGUGGUUCACCUCAAUGCAGGUUUCUGUUUCUGCUUUGUGGCUGUCAGACCAUAAGCUGCACCAAGGUAACUUUAAUUAGCGCCUCAAGGCGCUUGUUAAAACCGCUACAAAACACUCCUUAUCGGCAAUCAUCUGCGUUUGCUUUCCGGUUUCCUGUGGCAAUAAGGUGAACAUACCAUGCAAAUGCGCCGUAGAGGGCUGUAAUCGAAGGUGGGACAGAGGAUAAGGAGGACCUUUCCGCAAAGAUCCAGAAUUCCACACCCUUCAUGCACUUGCGCUGACAUCUUUCCAGCUUGCAUAUGCUAUGUACAUAUAAAUGAAUACAACGGUGUUUCAGACGGAGCUGAAA